CUGCUCGCCUGCAUGGUCUGUUCUUCUAAAAGCCAUGUAAGAAACACAAUCAUUCUGCUGUGUGCAUAUUUUGAUCAAAUUAAUGAAUGCUAGUUCGGUUGUUCGGCGUAGCUGUCUUACCAAGCUUUUCACAUUAAAUACCCUUUAUCAACAAACAAUUAAAUGAUGGGGAAAUUUCACGCCUGUAGACCCGAAUGAAUGAAUCAGAAUAUUUUAAUUAUUGAUUUCAGAGAAAUCACCCACAGCAUUGGCCAAAUCACUGCGGAAAUCCGGACUUCUUCAUGCACGUUUUUGACCUAACAACAAUCACUGCGAAAUAGCGCAGACCGUGUUUGACUUACGCUGGCCGCAUACGCAUUAAGACCUAUUUUCGCAAGACGCGACUAUAAGUGUGAUUUGGUUGUGUUGAAAGAACACUGUGCAUGUAUGAACUAUUUACAUCUCAUUGCGAUGGCGAUAUAAUAAAUUCAUAAUAAGCCUUGUGAGGCCACAUAUGAUCACAUGUAGUAUAUUUUUAUCUAAGGACAAAAUUGUUCGGUUUGAAUAUACGUGCACUUUAUAAGAAACACAUCAUGCGGUGGAUAUGCGACAAUUAAACCUUUAUUUUCUAUUUAAAUAUUUAUAAACGUGAAUAUACGACUUGCUUUAACGAUACAAGCGUUAAUUCGUUACUGAUAGGAUCAUGCGGCAGCAAUGAAUAGGACACUCCUCGUUCUCUGGUUGCUUGAUGUGGCGACUGCAGAAGUGGCUCAGCAAAGCGUCUUCGUUGGAGCAAACAACCCUGCAUUCUGGACACCGAUUGUGCGCCUCCUUUAAAUAUAAAACUUUGUGAAACAUAAAAAUAUAUUAAACAUUUAUUUUUCAUCAUUUUAACCAAUAAAUACCUACUAAACAAGAA